UACGUAGGGUGCGAGCGUUGUCCGGAAUUAUUGGGCGUAAAGGGCUCGUAGGCGGUUUGUCGCGUCGGGAGUGAAAACCCAGGGCUUAACCGUGGAAGUGCAUGGGAAACUGCAGAGCUUGAGUACUUAAGAGGAUCGCGGAAUUCCCGGUGUAGAGGUGAAAUUCGUAGAUAUCGGGAGGAACACCAGUGGCGAAGGCGGCGAUCUGGGAAGAUACUGACGCUGAGGUGCGAAAGCGUGGGGAGCAAACAGG
rnacentral:rRNA from 1 species